CGGAAUGAGUAGCGCGAAUGCAGUGAGAAUCUGCAUGGCCGAAAGCCUCAGGUUUCUGGAGGAAGGUUCGUCCGCUCCAGGUCAGUCGGGAGCUAAGGUGAGGCCUAACGGCGUAGCCGAUGCACAGACGGUAGAGAUUCCGUCACCACCAAAAGAGUUAAACACAGGGACACAUAUGAAGUCUCGGAGCCGGGUGUUGGUUCCGGUAGCGAUCGAGGGAAGUUAGUACCGAAGUCCGAGAUGGAAGAUGGCGAGAAAAGCUGUGUGUAUUUCUGCGGUGCCCGUACCGCAAACCGACACAGGUAGGUAGGAAGAAGAUUCUAAGGCCAACGGGAGAAGGGUUGUUAAGGAACUCGGCAAAUUGACCCCGUAACUUCGGGAGAAGGGGUGCUGCAGCAAUGCAGCCGCAGAGAAUCGGCCCAAGCAACUGUUUACCAAAAACACAGGUUUGUGCUAAAUCGAAAGAUGACGUAUACGAGCUGACGCCUGCCCGGUGCUGGAAGGUUAAGAGGAGAUGUGCAAGCAUUGAAUCGAAGCCCCAGUGAACGGCGGCCGUAACUAUAACGGUCCUAAGGUAGCGAAAUUCCUUGUCAGGUAAGUUCUGACCCGCAUGAAAGGCGUAAUGAUUUGGGCACUGUCUCAACAGCCCGCCCGGCGAAAUUGUAGUACCGGUGAAGAUGCCGGUUACCCGCGACAAGACGGAAAGACCCCAUGGAGCUUUACUGUAGCCUAAUAUUGGGUUUCGAUGUUGCAUGCACAGGAUAGAUGGGACACUGGGAAGCAGGUGCUUUGGCGCUUGUGGAGUGGCCGUUGGGAUACCAUCCUUGCGAUAUUGGAAUUCUAACCUGCGCCUUUGAAUCAAGGCGGGGGACAUUGUUAGGUGGGCAGUUUGACUGGGGCGGUCGCCUCCUAAAGAGUAACGGAGGCGUUCAAAGGUUCGCUCAGCUUGAACGGAAAUCAAGCAAAAGAGUGCAAACGCAGAAGCGAGCCUAACUGCGAGACUGACGGGUCGAGCAGUAACGAAAGUUGGAGUUAGUGAUCCGGUGGUAUGUGAGUGGAAAUGCCAUCGCUCAACGGAUAAAAGCUACCCUGGGGAUAACAGGCUGAUCUCCCCCAAGAGUCCACAUCGACGGGGAGGUUUGGCACCUCGAUGUCGGCUCAUCGCAUCCUGGGGCUGUAUUCGGUCCCAAGGGUUUGGCUGUUCGCCAAUUAAAGCGGUACGCGAGCUGGGUUCAGAACGUCGUGAGACAGUUCGGUCCCUAUCUGUCGUGGGCGCAGGAUAUUUGAUGGGAGCUGUUCCUAGUACGAGAGGACCGGAGCGGACGUACCUCUGGCGCACCAGUUGUUCUGCCAAGAGCAUAGCUGGGCAACUAUGUACGGAUCGGAUAAACGCUGAAAGCAUCUAAGCGUGAAGCCGACCCAAAGAUAAGAUAUCCCAUUGUUUCAAACAAGUAAGACCCCUUGAAGACUACAAGGUUGAUAGGCACGAUGUGUAAGUGGAGCGAUCCAUUCAGCAAGCGUGUACUAAUAGGUCGAGGGCUUGACCAC
rnacentral:rRNA from 1 species